AUUGCUCCUUCAGUAAAUGAAGGAGACUAUGUGAACAGGAAGUCUUUCCACAGCAUUAAUGUACAGAUCAUAUAUGAUGCUGCCAACAUUAUCACAAAUGUGGAAGCCAAGUGGCCAGGCUCUGUCCAUGACUCACAAAUAUUCCGUGAAUGUACACUGAGCACAAAAUUUGGACAUGGAGAGUUCACUGGCUACUUGCUUGGUGAUAGGGGGUAUCCAUGUUUACCCUAUUUGCUUACCCCUUACCCUGACCCUGAACCGGGCCCACAGCAGCGAUAUAAUCUGGCUAAUUGCAGGACAAGAGCCAGAAUUGAAAUGACUAUCGGAAUGCUUAAGGCCCGGUUCCAGUGCCUGCAAAGACUCAGGGUCACCCCAGAAAGGGCAUGUGACAUUAUUGUGGCAUGUGUGAUUCUUCACAACAUUGCCACAAUUAGAGGAGAACACUGUCCUUCUGAACCAAACAUCAGCAGUGAUCCAAACCAUGAACAUCCUGACCCUCCACGGACAUACAAGAUGGAAGCGCAGUCAGAGACACCAUAUGUCACAAUCAUUUCUUUUGACCCAUCACCUCAACAUGUUGAAAGAAGAAUAAACAGAUUUUUUGUUCAACUGGCUUUAUUGGUCGCCUGUAUUUCCUGUACACAAAGUAUUAAAAGAUGUAAACCUCA